rnacentral:rRNA from 1 species
GAAAUCCCGAGGCUCAACCUCGGGCCUGCAGUGGGUACGGGCAGACUAGAGUGCGGUAGGGGAGAUUGGAAUUCCUGGUGUAGCGGUGGAAUGCGCAGAUAUCAGGAGGAACACCGAUGGCGAAGGCAGAUCUCUGGGCCGUAACUGACGCUGAGGAGCGAAAGGGUGGGGAGCAAACAGGCUUAGAUACCCUGGUAGUCCACCCCGUAAACGUUGGGAACUAGUUGUGGGGACCAUUCCACGGUUUCCGUGACGCAGCUAACGCAUUAAGUUCCCCGCCUGGGGAGUACGGCCGCAAG